UACGUAGGGCGCAAGCGUUGUCCGGAAUUAUUGGGCGUAAAGAGCUCGUAGGCGGCUUGUCACGUCGGGUGUGAAAGCCCGGGGCUUAACCCCGGGUUUGCAGUGGAUACGGGCAGGCUAGAGGCAGGUAGGGGAGAACGGAAUUCCCGGUGUAGCGGUGAAAUGCGCAGAUAUCGGGAGGAACACCGGUGGCGAAGGCGGUUCUCUGGGCCUGUACUGACGCUGAGGAGCGAAAGCGUGGGGAGCGAACAGG
rnacentral:rRNA from 1 species